rnacentral:rRNA from 1 species
AAUCGCGCAUCAGCCACGGCGCGGUGAAUACGUUCCCGGGCCUUGUACACACCGCCCGUCAAGCCAUGGAAGCCGGGGGUGCCUGAAGUACGUGACCAUAACAGGAGCGUCCUAGGGUAAAACUGGUGACUGGGGCUAAGUCGUAACAAGGUAGCCGUACCGGAAGGUGCGGCUGGAACACCUCCUUU